CCUACGGGUGGCAGCAGUGAGGAAUAUUGGUCAAUGGGCGUAAGCCUGAACCAGCCAAGUCGCGUGAGGGAUGAAGGUUCUAUGGAUUGUAAACCUCUUUUAUAAGGGAAUAAAGUGCGGGACGUGUCCCGCUCUGUAUGUACCCUAUGAAUAAGGAUCGGCUAACUCCGUGCCAGCAGCCGCGGUAAUACGGAGGAUCCGAGCGUUAUCCGGAUUUAUUGGGUUUAAAGGGUGCGUAGGCGGGCUGUUAAGGCAGCGGUGAAAGUCCGUGGCUCAACCAUAGAAUUGCCGUUGAGACUGGGAGGCUUGAGUAGGUUGGAGGGAGGCGGAAUGCGUGGGGUAGCGGGGAAAUGUUUAGAGAUCACGCAGAACCCCGAUUGCGAAGGCAGACUGC
rnacentral:rRNA from 1 species